CUGACAGGUUUGACUGACAAUAUAAAUAAUGUUGUUCAUCGUUUAUAUUGUUUAUAACAUCGUCAGUUUUUAUAUGCAUUUAAUAUUUUUUUAAAUAGUUCAAAAGCUGUCAAAAUAAAAUAGUGAAUUGAGUUCAAACUAACCAGAAAAGAUAUAAACGUAAUCUCUGGGAUUCAACUUGAAAGAAUGUUCCAAGAACCACUUAGUUGGAGAACGAAAACUGUGUCAAAUUUACCUGCAUUAUAAUAUAUACUGGCAAUAUAAAUAAUGUUGUAUAUCAUGCAGACAGCUCAGACAAAGAACCGUUCAUUUACAAGUCCGGUGCUUUAUAAUAUAUUUAAAGAUGGUAAGGACAUGAAGAAACAGGUUUGUAAAUGAUGUUGUACAUCAUGCAGAUAGCUCAGAAGAAGAAGUAAGUUUUUUUUUUAAUUACAAAAAUAAAUAUUUAAUAUAAUAUUUGUUGCUGCCUUGUUCUAUAUAAAUGUUUCUAACAUGCAGGUAACAUUUAUAUAUGUAUUAGUUUGAAUAAAUCAUUUUAAUUAGGCAGUUACAUUAUAGGCAGGACUGGAAAUAUAAACGAUGUUGUACAUAAUCCAGAUAGCUAAGGCGAAAAAGAGAUUGGUGAAAUGGAGAAUGAGACUAACUACGGUGAAAAAAUAAUGAAUAUCAAAAUGUGAAUGGUACUUUGUUUGACAUCUACCUGUUUCUACAGACACAAUGCAGUUGCACUUAUAAAUGGGGUUGAUGUUUUUUUUGGAUUGAAUAUGUUGUAUUGAUGGUUCUUUUUAACUUGUUAAAACUUUAAGUUAUUAUCAAAUUUAUAUAUACUAUUUUUAUCAAAUAGUUAAUAU